UACGAAGGGUGCAAGCGUUAAUCGGAAUUACUGGGCGUAAAGCGUGCGUAGGCGGUUUGUUAAGUCUGUUGUGAAAUCCCCGGGCUCAACCUGGGAACUGCAUCUGUGACUGCAUAGCUAGAGUACGGUAGAGGGGGAUGGAAUUCCGCGUGUAGCAGUGAAAUGCGUAGAUAUGCGGAGGAACACCGAUGGCGAAGGCAAUCCCCUGGACCUGUACUGACGCUCAUGCACGGAAGCGUGGGGAGCAAACAGG
rnacentral:rRNA from 1 species